AUGCCGCGCCACCUCGGCCUUCACGGCGUGAUCGCCGCCGGCGCGUCGCGCCACCUCGCCCUGCACCACAGCGGCGUGAUCGCGGCCGCGGUGCCGGCGGCGGCGGCGUUCCUGGCCGUGUGCACGCUGGCGCUGGCGCUGUGCGCGUCGCACUCGGGGGCGGGGGCGGCGGCGACAGAGCGGCUGCGGCGCGCGCUGGCGAGCGUGAGCCGCCGGAGGACGGACCCGGUCAUCAGCAUCCACCAGGUGCAGCCCGGCGGCGUAGGGGCCGACGCGUCCCCGCCGCCUUGCGUCUGGCAGAAAGGGAUCCUCAUGGGAGGGAAGUGCCAGCUGCCGGACUUCUCCGGCGUCAUCAACUACGACCCCGCCGGCAACAUGGUCGCGCCCGGCCGUCCUCGGGCCUUGCCGGCGCUUGGCUGGUGA
rnacentral:rRNA from 1 species